UGUAGUGAUGGGGUCUGUGGCUCAGGUGGUAGAGCGAGUUGUUCACUAAUCAUAGGGUUGGCGGUUGGAUUCCCAGCCCACAUGUCUACACAUACCAAAGUGUCCUUGGGCAAGAAACGGAAUUGGAAGUUAGCGCCUUGCAUGGCAGCUCUGCAGCAAUUAGUGUGUGUGUGAGAGAGAGAGACAGUGUAAAGCGCUUUUGUAAACCGCUAAGGUUAGAAAAGCGAGAUAUACCAUAUUUACCAUUAGUGAUGUACAUCCAUGUGCAGUGUGACGGGUGUGAAGUGUAAUUCGCUUAGCAGUGAUUUAAGCAGCUCUGUGAAACCCCCAAAUCACAAACAGAGCAGGAGAUCGGUGUGUGUGUGUGUGUGUUGUACUCUUCUGUUCUGUUCAGCUUUAUGAAGAAAUUCUUUCAUUACCGGAACAGAGCGGCUCGAGCUGUCCAGAUGUUGUGCACGUUUCCUGUGAUGAACGGGGAUUUUAAAUGGGAAUUUGAGCGGAUGUGGAUGCGGAUUUGGGGUUGUGAACUUGAGGUUGUGUCUGUAUGAGACACAAUGAAUAAAAAACGCCCACUAGACUACUGAGCCUUCGAUGGUUUGCAUAGCAAGAAUGUCCACGGUCCGACUUCUUCUUUUUCUCCUAAAGCACUUCGUGUUUUCUCUUCUUUCCCCGAGCAUCACCAAAGGUCACAGCACAGGCAGACCAGACGUGUCGUCAGCCACCGAGGGAGCAUCAUAUGGCAGUGGCCUUCACUCUGUGCUGCAGGAUUCGGUCUCACCAGCCUUUGGUGCCACCAUCAUAAUUAUUGUCACCGUGAUUGCUAGUGGAAGUGCUUACCUCUGCUUUCUCAAGUAUGUCUGUGCUGGUUGCUGCAAACCUACACAAGUGGCUCCUCUCACGAAUACGAACCCCAACAAGAGCGAGGAGCAAGUGUAGUGAGGAUAUAAGAAAUAUGUCCAUAUGAAAUAAUGUUAUAAUUACACUUUUAACCCCAAAUCCCAUAGUUCCAUGAAUGGAGAGAGUGUAAAAGUGCAAGGAGAAAGCUAAUGUGGGACUGCUGAUCUCUUUCUAACUUUUAUUUGAGUGCAUUUCCUUUAGCAAAUCUGUAUCAUUAGAGAGCAUCACUUUCCACAACAGAGAAUUAUUCUUCAUGUUCUGUUAACUACAAAACAAUGGAUCCUUCUUCUGGGCAUCAUCAUAUCAUAUCUUUAUCUUAGCUUUUUAUAAAUAAAUAAUUUAUAAAAUUAGUGAUAUGUUCAGUUACAUGCAGCUUUGUAACUGGUGCUUGUUUGGUGUAUUUUCAUGUCAUGAUUGCUCUUGAACAUGAUUCAUCAUCAAAAAUGUGGUGAUUAAAUGUUGUUCAGUUUGUGUUUGUUGACAUUAAUGAACAUUAAAUGUAGACGAUUGAGUUUAGCCUCCAGUAGUUUGUUACUAUAAUUUUGAAAAACCUGUUGUAUCAGAUCUCAUUUGGAUUUUUUUUCUAUAAAAGGAAGCAAACCUUGUUUUUUAAAAAAUCUACAAGACAACAUCUUUUAGCUUGCUUGAUAUCCUGUAUACUGGUAUAGCAUCAGGUUAAGGCAGAUUAAGGCGAUAACUAUUUUAGAUUUCACUAUGCUUACACCAUCACACCAUCACCCUUUAUUAAAAGCAGUGAUCUCUGAGUUUGAAAUAGAAAUGUGGAUUAUUCCAAAGGGUGAGGAUACUGAGUCAGCACCCAAGGCUGCUGUCCAUGUCUGUGUUUUUUAUGUUUCACUUCCAUAGGGCUGGAAUUGAUAGCAAAACAUAUGUGUAUUAAAAAGUGCUUGCAAACUUAUCCUGCGCUGUGUGCACCAUAUUUCAUUGUGCAUAGUUUCUUUGACAUUUUAUAUAUUGUUAUUUUUUAUUGCUUACCUUUUAUGUGGUCAGCUCUAGAAUUAUUGACAUUGUUUAUAAAAAAAAAAUCAGUAUUAGUAUAAAACACAUGCAGUGAUUGAUAUUUGAGGCUUCUUUGAGGGAGAGGUGGCUAUAUUGCUUUGUUAUAUUAAAAUAGU